GCAGAUUUCUCCUUUGCAUUGUUUACAGGCGGGUUGUCAAAUCCAAAGCUGGUAGGUGUUUCAAAUUACAUAUCAUUUGCAAAUCCUAAAGCACCACUUUAUCCACGGCUUGCUUUGGGGAAAUCAUGGAAUGAAAUGACAUUGACCUGGACAAGCGGCUAUAAUUUACUUGAAGCUGUUCCUUUCAUUGAAUGGGGUCGGAAGGGUGAUCCCCAACAUCGCUCACCAGCAGGAACAUUGACAUUUGAUAGAAAUACAAUGUGUGGUUCACCUGCUCGAACAGUUGGCUGGCGUGAUCCAGGGUUCAUACAUACUAGCUUCAUGAAGGAUCUUUGGCCAAGCACCUUGUACACAUACAAGAUGGGUCAUAUGUUGUCAAAUGGUUCCUACGUUUGGAGUAAGAUGUAUUCCUUUAGAUCAUCACCAUAUCCAGGACAAGACUCAUUGCAGCGUGUUAUAAUUUUUGGAGACAUGGGAAAGGCUGAGCGGGAUGGUUCAAAUGAGUAUAGUAAUUAUCAGCCAGGCUCACUGAAUACAACGGACCAACUCAUCAAUGACCUUAAAAACAUUGAUAUAGUUUUCCAUAUAGGAGACAUUACCUAUGCCAAUGGAUACAUAUCACAGUGGGACCAAUUUACUGCACAAGUGGAACCUGUUGCAUCAACAGUACCCUAUAUGAUUGCAAGUGGUAAUCAUGAGCGUGAUUGGCCUGGAACUGGUUCCUUCUAUGAUGUUAUGGACUCUGGUGGAGAAUGUGGAGUGCUAGCUCAGACCAUGUUUUAUGUUCCUGCUGAUAAUAGAGCUAACUUUUGGUAUUCCACAGAUUAUGGCAUGUUUCACUUCUGCAUAGCAGACAGUGAGCAUGAUUGGAGAGAGGGGUCUGAGCAAUACAGAUUUAUUGAACAUUGUCUUGCAUCAGUAGACAGACAGAAGCAGCCUUGGCUGAUAUUUGCUGCUCAUCGGGUUCUUGGUUACUCUUCAGACAAAUGGUAUGGCUUAGAAGGCUCAUUUGAGGAGCCCAUGGGAAGGGAAAGCUUGCAGAAGCUUUGGCAGAAGUAUAAAGUGGAUAUUGCAUUUUAUGGUCAUGUCCAUAACUAUGAAAGAACUUGUCCCAUUUAUCAGAACCAAUGUGUUAACUCGGAAAGAUCACACUAUUCUGGUAUUGUUAAUGGAACAAUCCAUGUUGUUGUGGGUGGCGGAGGAAGCCACUUAUCAGAGUUCACCCCAAUUAAUACCACUUGGAGUCUUCACAGGGAUUACGAUUGGGGAUUUGUCAAGCUUACAGCAUUUAAUCAUUCAUCACUACUUUUUGAAUACAAAAAGAGUAGGGACGGCAAAGUUUAUGAUUCUUUCACCAUCUCAAGAGACUAUAAAGACGUCUUAGCUUGUGUUCACGAUGGUUGUGAGCCAACCACUUUUGCAUCUUAAAUCAAACUGUACAUGUAUACUAGGGAAAAGAAUUCAGCUACAGAAUUUGUUGAAAUUGGUUCCAAUACAAUACAAGAAGCCAUAAUGUACAUUUUCUUUGGUUUUAGCAAAUCUAUUUUCACUCAUGACUGAAUACAGUUUUCGAGCCCUGUUUGAACAAUAUUACGUCAAUGAUGAAUUGUUGGACACCGGAGCAAAAGUUAAGCUGUGGGCCUGCAUUCAGAAGCUAAGGAUUUUCAGAGCCCAUUAAUCUUCUUCAUGUAAAAGUUUAGUGUGCCCAAAUUAUGAAUAAAGGGUAGACAAGAUGAGGAGAAA
rnacentral:misc_RNA from 1 species